UACGGAGGAUCCGAGCGUUAUCCGGAUUUAUUGGGUUUAAAGGGUGCGCAGGCGGGAGAUUAAGUCGGUGGUGAAAUUUUGCGGCUCAACCGUAACAGUGCCAUUGAUACUGGUUUCCUUGAGUGUGGAUGAAGUAGGCGGAAUUUGUGGUGUAGCGGUGAAAUGCAUAGAUAUCACGAGGAACUCCGAUCGCGUAGGCAGCUUACUAAACCAUAACUGACGCUCAUGCACGAAGGCGUGGGGAUCAAACAGGAUUAGAUACCCU
rnacentral:rRNA from 1 species